rnacentral:rRNA from 1 species
UAGGGAAUAUUGCACAAUGGAGGAAACUCUGAUGCAGCCAUGCCGCGUGUGUGAAGAAGGCCUUCGGGUUGUAAAGCACUUUCGGAGGGGAGGAAGUAAAUGACGUUACCCUCAGAAGAAGCACCGGCUAACUCCGUGCCAGCAGCCGCGGUAAUACGGAGGGUGCAAGCGUUAAUCGGAAUAACUGGGCGUAAAGGGCAUGCAGGCGGUUCAUCAAGUAGGAUGUGAAAUCCCCGGGCUCAACCUGGGAACAGCAUACUAAACUGGUGGACUAGAGUAUUGCAGGGGGAGACGGAAUUCCAGGUGUAGCGGUGGAAUGCGUAGAUAUCUGGAAGAACACCAAAGGCGAAGGCAGUCUCCUGGGCAAAUACUGACGCUCAUAUGCGAAAGCGUGGGUAGCAAACAG